rnacentral:rRNA from 1 species
UCGGGAAUUUUGGGCAAUGGGCGAAAGCCUGACCCAGCAACGCCGCGUGAAGGAUGAAGUAUUUCGGUAUGUAAACUUCGAAAGAAUAGGGAGAAUAAAUGACGGUACUAUUUAUAAGGUCCGGCUAACUACGUGCCAGCAGCCGCGGUAAUACGUAGGGACCAAGCGUUGUUCGGAUUUACUGGGCGUAAAGGGCGCGUAGGCGGCAAUUCAAGUCAUCUGUGAAAUCUCCGGGCUUAACUCGGAACGGUCAGAUGAUACUGCUUUGCUAGAGUGCAGAAGGGGCAAUCGGAAUUCUUGGUGUAGCGGUGAAAUGCGUAGAUAUCAAGAGGAACACCUGAGGUGAAGACGGGUUGCUGGGCUGACACUGACGCUGAGGCGCGAAAGCCAGGGGAGCAAACGGGAUUAGAUACCCACGUAGUCCCUGAGCGGGCUGGCAAGGCGCAU